rnacentral:rRNA from 1 species
UGGGGAAUUUUGGACAAUGGGCGAAAGCCUGAUCCAGCAAUGCCGCGUGUGUGAAGAAGGCCUUCGGGUUGUAAAGUACUUUUGUCCGGAAAGAAAUCCUUGGCUCUAAUACAGUCGGGGGAUGACGGUACCGGAAGAAUAAGCACCGGCUAACUACGUGCCAGCAGCCGCGGUAAUACGUAGGGUGCAAGCGUUAAUCGGAAUUACUGGGCGUAAAGCGUGCGCAGGCGGUUUGCUAAGACCGAUGUGAAAUCCCCGGGCUCAACCUGGGAACUGCAUUGGUGACUGGCAGGCUAGAGUAUGGCAGAGGGGGGUAGAAUUCCACGUGUAGCAGUGAAAUGCGUAGAGAUGUGGAGGAAUACCGAUGGCGAAGGCAGCCCCCUGGGCCAAUACUGACGCUCAUGCACGAAAGCGUGGGGAGCAAACAGGAUUAGAUACCCUGGUAGUCCACGCCCUAAACGAUGUCAACUAGUUGUUGGGGAUUCAUUUCCUUAGUAACGUAGCUAACGCGUGAAGUUGACCGCCU